UUAAGCGACUAAGCGUACACGGUGGAUGCCCUGGCAGUCAGAGGCGAUGAAGGACGUGCUAAUCUGCGAAAAGCGUCGGUAAGGUGAUAUGAACCGUUAUAACCGGCGAUGUCCGAAUGGGGAAACCCAGUGCAAUUCGUUGCACUAUCGUUAACUGAAUACAUAGGUUAACGAGGCGAACCGGGGGAACUGAAACAUCUAAGUACCCCGAGGAAAAGAAAUCAACCGAGAUUCCCCCAGUAGCGGCGAGCGAACGGGGAGCAGCCCAGAGUCUGAAUCAGCUUGUGUGUUAGUGGAACGGUCUGGAAAGUCCGACGGUACAGGGUGAUAGUCCCGUACACCAAAAUGCACAGGCUGUGAACUCGAAGAGUAGGGCGGGACACGUGGUAUCCUGUCUGAAUAUGGGGGGACCAUCCUCCAAGGCUAAAUACUCCUGACUGACCGAUAGUGAACCAGUACCGUGAGGGAAAGGCGAAAAGAACCCCGGCGAGGGGAGUGAAAAAGAACCUGAAACCGUGUACGUACAAGCAGUGGGAGCACCUUCGGGUGUGACUGCGUACCUUUUGUAUAAUGGGUCAGCGACUUAUAUUCUGUAGCAAGGUUAACCGUAUAGGGGAGCCGCAGGGAAACCGAGUCUUAACUGGGCGUUAAGUUGCAGGGUAUAGACCCGAAACCCGGUGAUCUAGCCAUGGGCAGGUUGAAGGUUGGGUAACACUAACUGGAGGACCGAACCGACUAAUGUUGAAAAAUUAGCGGAUGACUUGUGGCUGGGGGUGAAAGGCCAAUCAAACCGGGAGAUAGCUGGUUCUCCCCGAAAGCUAUUUAGGUAGCGCCUCGUGAAUUCAUCUUCGGGGGUAGAGCACUGUUUCGGCUAGGGGGUCAUCCCGACUUACCAACCCGAUGCAAACUACGAAUACCGAAGAAUGUUAUCACGGGAGACACACGGCGGGUGCUAACGUCCGUCGUGAAGAGGGAAACAACCCAGACCGCCAGCUAAGGUCCCAAAGUCAUGGUUAAGUGGGAAACGAUGUGGGAAGGCACAGACAGCCAGGAUGUUGGCUUAGAAGCAGCCAUCAUUUAAAGAAAGCGUAAUAGCUCACUGGUCGAGUCGGCCUGCGCGGAAGAUGUAACGGGGCUAAACCAUGCACCGAAGCUGCGGCAGCGACACUAUGUGUUGUUGGGUAGGGGAGCGUUCUGUAAGCCUGCGAAGGUGUGCUGUGAGGCAUGCUGGAGGUAUCAGAAGUGCGAAUGCUGACAUAAGUAACGAUAAAGCGGGUGAAAAGCCCGCUCGCCGGAAGACCAAGGGUUCCUGUCCAACGUUAAUCGGGGCAGGGUGAGUCGACCCCUAAGGCGAGGCCGAAAGGCGUAGUCGAUGGGAAACAGGUUAAUAUUCCUGUACUUGGUGUUACUGCGAAGGGGGGACGGAGAAGGCUAUGUUAGCCGGGCGACGGUUGUCCCGGUUUAAGCAUGUAGGCUGGUUGUCCAGGCAAAUCCGGAUAAUCAAGGCUGAGGUGUGAUGACGAGGCACUACGGUGCUGAAGUAACAAAUGCCCUGCUUCCAGGAAAAGCCUCUAAGCAUCAGGUAACAUCAAAUCGUACCCCAAACCGACACAGGUGGUCAGGUAGAGAAUACCAAGGCGCUUGAGAGAACUCGGGUGAAGGAACUAGGCAAAAUGGUGCCGUAACUUCGGGAGAAGGCACGCUGGUGUGUAGGUGAAGCCCCUGCGGGUGGAGCUGAGACCAGUCGAAGAUACCAGCUGGCUGCAACUGUUUAUUAAAAACACAGCACUGUGCAAACACGAAAGUGGACGUAUACGGUGUGACGCCUGCCCGGUGCCGGAAGGUUAAUUGAUGGGGUUAUCCGUAAGGAGAAGCUCUUGAUCGAAGCCCCGGUAAACGGCGGCCGUAACUAUAACGGUCCUAAGGUAGCGAAAUUCCUUGUCGGGUAAGUUCCGACCUGCACGAAUGGCGUAAUGAUGGCCAGGCUGUCUCCACCCGAGACUCAGUGAAAUUGAACUCGCUGUGAAGAUGCAGUGUACCCGCGGCAAGACGGAAAGACCCCGUGAACCUUUACUAUAGCUUGACACUGAACAUUGAGCCUUGAUGUGUAGGAUAGGUGGGAGGCUUUGAAGCGUGGACGCCAGUCUGCGUGGAGCCAACCUUGAAAUACCACCCUUUAAUGUUUGAUGUUCUAACGUUGGCCCCUUACCGGGGUUGCGGACAGUGUCUGGUGGGUAGUUUGACUGGGGCGGUCUCCUCCCAAAGCGUAACGGAGGAGCACGAAGGUUAGCUAAUCCUGGUCGGACAUCAGGAGGUUAGUGCAAUGGCAUAAGCUAGCUUGACUGCGAGCGUGACGGCGCGAGCAGGUGCGAAAGCAGGUCAUAGUGAUCCGGUGGUUCUGAAUGGAAGGGCCAUCGCUCAACGGAUAAAAGGUACUCCGGGGAUAACAGGCUGAUACCGCCCAAGAGUUCAUAUCGACGGCGGUGUUUGGCACCUCGAUGUCGGCUCAUCACAUCCUGGGGCUGAAGUAGGUCCCAAGGGUAUGGCUGUUCGCCAUUUAAAGUGGUACGCGAGCUGGGUUUAGAACGUCGUGAGACAGUUCGGUCCCUAUCUGCCGUGGGCGCUGGAGAAUUGAGGGGGCUGCUCCUAGUACGAGAGGACCGGAGUGGACGCAUCACUGGUGUUCGGGUUGUCAUGCCAAUGGCACUGCCCGGUAGCUAAAUGCGGAAGAGAUAAGUGCUGAAAGCAUCUAAGCACGAAACUUGCCCCGAGAUGAGUUCUCCCUGAGACUUUAAGUCUCCUGAAGGAACGUUGAAGACGACGACGUUGAUAGGCCGGGUGUGUAAGCGCAGCGAUGCGUUGAGCUAACCGGUACUAAUGAACCGUGAGGCUUAACCUU
rnacentral:rRNA from 1 species